GACGAACGCUGGCGGCGUGCUUAACACAUGCAAGUCGAACGAAGUGGCGAACGGGUGAGUAAUACGUGAGUAACUGCCCCCCUCUCUGGGAUAACAGUUGGAAACGGCUGCUAAUACCGGAAAGUGGGGGCUGCCUCGCGUCCUAUCAGCUUGUUGGUGGGGUAGUGGCCUACCAAGGCGACGAAGGGUUGCCGGCCUGAGUGGGCAACCUGCCACAUUGGGCUGAUAUACGGCCCAAAGUCCGACUGGAGGCAGCAGUGGGGAAUAUUGCACAAUGGGGGAAACCCUGAUGCAGCAACGCCGCGGGCGGGAUGACGGCCUUCGGGUUGUAAACCGCUUUCAGCCAUGACGCGGUAGUGGCAGAAGAAGCACAGGCUAACUACGUGCCAGCAGCCGCGGUAAUAC
rnacentral:rRNA from 1 species